rnacentral:lncRNA from 1 species
CGCCGGCCCGUCGCCGCCCACCCUCGCUGCUGCCUCGCGCCGCUGCCGCCCACCCUCGCUGCGUCUCAUCUCCUCCCCAAAUCUCUCUCUCUCUUCGCGAUCUCUCCCUCUUUGAGAGAUAGUCGCCGCCGCUGCUGUGACAGCCCUCAUUCCCGGGAGAAUAGGAAACGUGCUACUUAAUGGGAUUUCUAGACUUUGCUAGGAUAAAAUAGGUGAUAUGUCUUUAGAUUUGGGUGACACAUUCAUAAUAAAGGAAUUUCGGAAUUGAAGGAUAAUAAAUACGACAACUUAGAUAGAAAUUCUCCCAACCAGGAUCAAAAGUCCGGAGGUCUGAGACAACAAGAUAACACUUCAAACUAGACAUACAUAUAUGCGAGGUUCAGUUGCUAGAAAUGCGAUUGCCAAGAGAGUUCAUAAUAAUUAGGCUAGGAAUAUUUAAAGAGUCAAUCUCAAAAGAUAUCCACCUAAGUGAAUAUUAUGGCAGCGGAAUUUAUUCUUGACAUUCAUUUGGGAAUACAGCAACACCCUCCCUCAGCUUCGCACGUCACCAUCUGCCGCUCAACCUGCAAAAGGUUUUGAAAACAAUUGCAGGGCUGAGUACUAAUAUACUCAGUGGGUUUAGCCAUUUGAAAACAUUUGAAAAAAAAUCCAUUUAAAAGAAUAAUCCAUGCUAUGAACAGUAUAACAUAGAAAUAUUAGAAAGCAUUCCAUGCAUACUUAAAAUAAAUUGUGGAUCCAUUUUCAGUCUUCUCUCUACUGGUGCUUCACCUAUUAUGUGAACUUGUGGGAGCAGCCCACAGAGGUCCACUACCAUGCAUGUUUCAGAAAUGGGAGCAGCCCAAGUCUGACAGUCUGAGGCAAGUGGGAGCAGCCCACAAUACCCCCUUGUGUGUACACAAUCCUAACCAGGGCGAUCCAAUCGCUACGCCGGCUAGGACCCGAUCGUUAGAGAACAUAGGAGCACUUUAAACAAUAGAGAGAUAAAAUCAUUUUAACAUGGACAUUCAUUUGCAUUUGCAUAAAAACAAUUUAGAGCUCAAUAACUCAAAACAUACAUUGGAAAAUAAAAACCCACCUUAAUAACAAGCCUGUAGAUAAAACUUGCGCAAUUCUCUUCUUGUAAAAUCAGUGCUAAAGCCUUCUAUCAAGUGGACCUACAAGAUAAUCUAAUCUUAAUAGGCCUUAAAAUAUCGCAUGAGCUAACGAUUCUACAAAGCUGCUAAAUCUUAAUAUUCUGCGCCCGAAUUUUCAAAACUUAAUUGAAAAUCUUGAAAAUCGAAAUUAUCAAAAUACUUUUAUUGCAUUAUUCAGUAUGCAAAUUCAUAUCAUAUCUCAAAAUCACAUAAAGUAAAUAACUACACUUAAAAAAAAUGCAGCUGAACUCUUUAAUAAAAUAAGGCCCAUCUUAAAAAAAAGUAUAGGCCCAAAAUAAAUAAGUCAAACCCCCCCCCCCCCUUAUUUCUCCCUCUACGUCUCCCCCCAUCUCUCUCUCACCAAUACCAGAACACAUUCCCUUCUCCUCCUCUCUUCGCCAUCUCUCUCUCUCACGCAGCCGCCCCGCCACUUCUCCGUCGCCGGCGACAACAGCGAUGUCGCCGUCGCGCAUUACUCUUCCCCCUCUCCGUUCUCCCCAUCUUGCUUCUCUCUCUCUCUCUCAAAUCCCCAAAUUCUGAAAUCCCUAAAUCUGCAAAUCUACCCUUUCCAUCUUUUUUUUUCUCGGCUGGACGGUCAACGGAGAAGGACCACCGCCGCCAACCACCUCCUACUCACCCUCUCAGACCCUCCCUUAUCUCUCUAUCGGCCGACAGACAGCAGGAGUUUCAGACCACCACCGCCGCCGUUCGCAACUGCCAUCUUAUCUCUCGAUCGACGAACGGACGGCGCCAAUAGGCAACCGCCGCCGCGAUUUAUCACCACCAUCUCCGAUUCUCCCUAAACCGCCUCUUCAUCCCCUCUGAAUUUCGGCCAGCAGCUAGAGAUACCGCCGCCGCCGCCGACUCUAUCCCGCCUCCACUCCUUCUCUCCUUCUACCAGCGAUGACAGCCACGCCGGAGACAACAGCAGUAACCGCGCCUCCGCGGUGACCACUGCAGCACCGCUGCCUUCGCUCCCCCCCUGCCCUAACUCGCCUCGACUCGAUUCCCACAUCAACAACACAUAGCGAAAGGUUAAAGAAAAUACGUGUAAGGCUCAAUUAAUCCAUAGGCAUUCUGUAAACUUGUUUUCUUUUUCAUAUGCAGUUUCUGUAACAACCAUAUGUACAUCAAAUAUAUAAGAUACGAUCUUUAUUCAUGUAUGCUAAUCAUCUUUUAGAUGUAUAUGAAUGUCUUGUUUGAUUGUAAAUAAAGAAUGGUUAUUAUUAUGCUUUGGCGUAUGAAAUUGGAGUGUAUGUUUGAGAAUGGAAGUGAACUGGAGGCAAACCUUUAUGAGAAUUCUGUUAUGAAGUAAAUUUUGAGGGCUGUGAUUUUGAGCUACGAACUGUCGCCUGCUACUCUUGGUGAGAAGCUGGGAUUUUGAGUUGUGUGUUGGGUGAAGAGUUAAGCUGCUUCGUGUGUGAUCGAAAGGGCGAGAAUGGCUAAAAUUUAUAGGGGAAACUAGCAGGAAGAAGAAGACGUGGAAGUACCCCUAUCAUGCAUUAAAACUAACUACUGAUGAUCAUGUAAUGUGUCAAUUCUACUGCCCCAAGUAAAAGAUUAAAAACUCAUGCAAAAACUCAAGAUAUAUAUAUAUAUAUAUAUAUAUAUAUUCGGUCCACUUAAAGAUAUAGUGGGCUUCUUAAAUAAGUGAUCCUUUGCAAAUUGUUUACAAAGCCCAACAUCAAAAUAAUUUAUUGAGAUAGAAAAUAUAAGCACAUUGCCUUCAAAUAAUUUGAUAAAAUCUAUUAUUAAAAGGAAUACUUUUUCGAAAAAAAAUAAUAAUUUAUCCGGGCGAGAAUCUACUUAUUCUAAGUUCAAGUAUUCUCAUGAAAUCUUAUUAGGCAAAAAUCGGGGUAUUACAACCCUCCCCCCUUAAAAAAUUUCGUCCUCGAAAUUUAAAUACCUCGGCUAGCAAACUCGACUCCUAGUCUGCACACACUUUUCUCGUUCAUAGAGAUUCUAUCAAGGCAGAAUAAAUCUGGAUACCCCGUAAGGUUUUGAUCUUUCGAUCAAAUAUGUCCAUCAAUCUCUUUUCAUUUUCUUAAAUUCCAAAUAGGACUAACUUGUCAUGCUUGCUUAUCAUUUCUAUAUAUCAUCUUGAAAGCUUCCACCACCAUAGGCUUCAAACUUAACAUUUCACAUGCAUGUAGAGAUAAAAGUAUGAAGCUCUUGAUGUUAAAACAUAUACGUCAAUUUAUGACGAUUGUACCUUCUAAAUCUUUAGGUGCUUGAGCUACUUGUUGCUGGUUAAGAGCAUAAGCCCUAGCACGUGCAGGUUGUCUCUGAUUUGGCCGCUCGUUACCAAUUAGUACUUGAUUCGGCCUUUGAGGGGCAAGGUUCUGAGGUUGUGGAAUUCUCAUGUUCCCGUUAUUAUUUGGGCAGUCUCUGGCGAAAUGCCCUGGUUGCUUGCACCUAAAGCAGUCAUUGGAGCCUAUCUUACAUUCACCAUAGUGAUUUUUCUGACAUGUUGGGCAUAAAGGCUUUCCUUCAGUAUGUCCUUGUUGCUGCUGAGUUCCUCUCCAUGGUUGCUUCAUUUUUCCUGGGUUCCCUUCAUUUUCGCCUUCCCAUUUACGUUUCAUUUUUCCAUAGUUUUGGGUCGGUGCUUGUGCUGACACAUUUUCUUUUUCCUUUGGUAGUAUUGCUUCGAUGUUUAGGGACCUGCUCAAAGAUUGAGCAUAUGUUAAUGCUCCUUGACUUGCUAGUGGAACGGCUAUCUCAAGCCGCAAACCUUGUCGAAACUUUUCUGCACAUUUCUCGUCUGUGUCAACUAGAUGUGGAGCAUAUCGCGAAAGCUGGUUAAACAUUCGGUCGUACUCAGUGACUGUCAUAUUUCCUUGUCGUAAAUUCCAAAACUCAUCUAGUUUCUUCUUCCUAUAGCAUCCAGGGAUAUAUUUUUCAUACAAUCUUUCUUUAAAAUCGUUCCACGUGUAUGCCUCCCAUUGCUCGGGGGUCAAGGUUCGUCGCACCGAUUCCCACCAGAAUUCGGCCUCAUCAACGAGUUGGAAAAUUGCACAUGUGAGUUUCUCCCUAUCCCCACAGCCAACAUGGUUGAGUAUCCUUUCAGUAGCUCUUACCCAUCUCUCGGGAUCCAGAGGAUCACCAAGGCCAUCAAAAGUUGGUGGAUUAUGCUUGCGAAACUUUUCUUCCACACUACGUUCUGGUAUAACUCGUGGCACAUGUUCUUCAGGGUUAGGUCCCCUUCCUCUUUCUCCAGCAUUCUGCAUGUAAUCAACAAUGUUGGGCUUCUUCUUUUUUUCUCACAAAAAUUGGUGAUACUGGUGACAUAAAGAUCUUUCUAUUGUCUGAAACGAAUGUUGGUUGUCUACAAGUCAUCCCUUCAUGUAUCGUGCUUUGAUAUUCUAACUUUCGUAUUUCGAUAUUCUAUGCCUUACUCUUCCAUGUUCUAUGUUUAUGCCAUUCUAUACUUUCUACGUUCUGUCAUUCUAUGUUCAGUGCUUUCAUUGUUCAGUCUUUACUACGUUCAAGUCAUUCUAUCUCCAGUGCUUUCUUCGUAUAGUCCUUUCUAUUCUUAGUCUGUCCAUGUGAUUGUAAAAUUCUCUAAUCUUAAAAAUUAAAAAUCUAAAGACAUCAUUCAUUAGUUCACCAAGCGACUAUAGUAUGUCAUCAUGUCAUUUCUAGGUUCAUAACCUAACUAAAACAUGUAAUAACACGUAGUGGUUGAAUCAUCUCAUGGUAAUAAAUUGCAUAUCACGCAUUUAUGCAACAUCUCCUCAUUUCAAAACAAGUUGGGCACAUACUUUUGUAUGAUAACAUAUUUGAAUCUCAAAUUCAUGAUCAUAUGCAUGUCUUGUCUCAACAAAUGUUAAGGUUCCAUACAUGUUGCGUUUCAGUGUACGGACGUCUCCAUACAUGAUCCGCUUCAGUGUAUGUUCAGUCAUAAUUCAGAUCAAUGCAUUCAAUCUCAAACCACAUCCAUUCUUAUUGCGUGUUCAGUCUCAAUUCAUAUAUUCUGUCUCAAUGCGUCUAUAGUUUCAAUACAUGCUCUGUUUCAAUGCUUGUUCAGUCUCAAUACAUGUUCCAUCUCAAUGCAUGUUUUGUCUCAGUGCAUGUUCAGUCUCAAUGCAUGUCCCGUCUCUAUGCAUAUUCAAUCUCAAUGCAUGUUCAUCUCAAUGCAUGUUCAAUCAUAAUGCAUGUUCCAUCUCAAUGCAUAUUCAAUAUUAACAUGUUCUAUAACAUAUUCAUUUGGUGCAUGCAUUUCAGUAAACAUUUUGAAAACAUGAUUAACAUACCUUGGUUGAGGGCUGUGUGACGACGAGCUGAGGGUUGCUGUAUAAACAUUAGAAGUCUAGAGAUGAUAUCCUAGACUCGACAUCAAUGAACUUGCGGUCUCAGAGCCAAGAACUUUCGCUCUGAUACCAUCUGUGACAGCCCUCAUUCCCGGGAGAAUAGGAAACGUGCUACUUAAUGGGAUUUCUAGACUUUGCUAGGAUAAAAUAGGUGAUAUGUCUUUAGAUUUGGGUAACACAUUCAUAAUAAAGGAAUGUCGCAAUUGAAGGAUAAUAAAUACGACAACUUAGAUAGAAAUUCUCCCAACCAGGAUCAAAAGUCCGGAGGUCUGAGACAACAAGAUAACACUUCAAACUAGACAUACAUAUAUGCGAGGUUCAGUUGCUAGAAAUGCGAUUGCCAAAAGAGUUCAUAAUAAUUAGGCUAGGAAUAUUUAAAGAGUCAAUCUCAAAAGAUAUCCACCUAAGUGAAUAUUAUGGCAGCGGAAUUUAUUCUUGACAUUCAUUUGGAAAUACAGCAACACCCUCCCUCAGCUUCACACGAUACCAUCUGCCGCUCAACCUGCAAAAGGUUUUGAAAACAAUUGCAGGGCUGAGUACUAGUAUACUCAGUGGGUUUAGCCAUUUGAAAACAUUUGAAAAAAAAUCCAUUUAAAAGAAUAAUCCAUGCUAUGAACAGUAUAACAUAGAAAUAUUUGAAAGCAUUCCAUGCAUACAUAAAAUAAAUUGUGGAUCCAUUUUCAGUCUUCUCUCAAUUGGUGCUUCACCUAUAAUGUGAACAUGUGGGAGCAGCCCACAGAGGUCCACUACCAUGCAUGUUUCAGAAAUGGGAGCAGCCCAAGUCUGACAGUCUGAGGCAAGUGGGAGCAGCCCACAAUACCCCCUUGUGUGUACACAAUCCUAACCAGGGCGAUCCAAUCGCUACGCCGGCUAGGACCCGAUCGUUAGAGAACAUAGGAGCACUUUAAACAAUAGAGAGAUAAAAUCAUUUUAACAUGGACAUUCAUUUGCAUUUGCAUAAAAACAAUUUAGAGCUCAAUAACUCAAAAC